GAUCAUGGCUCAGGACGAACGCUGGCGGCGUGCCUAACACAUGCAAGUCGAGCGGAGACAGUGAGUAGCUUGCUAUGAGCUGUUUUAGCGGCGGACGGGUGAGUAACGCGUGAGCAACCUUUCCCAGACAGGGGGAAUAACACACCGAAAGGUGUACUAAUACCGCAUAAGACCACGGGAUCACAUGGUUCUGGGGUAAAAGAUUUAUCGGUUUGGGGUGGGCUCGCGUCCGAUUAGGUAGUUGGUGAGGUAACCGG
rnacentral:rRNA from 1 species